rnacentral:lncRNA from 1 species
GUAUGCAUGUGGUUGUUAAAUUAGUAUUGGAAAUGUGGUAUUUCUAGAUAUUGAUUGAUAUAAAAUGGAUGUACUUUAAGAGUGUGCGUUAUACACCCAUGCUUUUAAAAAAAUUUAAAUUUCUUGUUGAAAAUUAAAACAAUUAUAAAAUUAGACACGACUCUUGAGGUGUGCCUUUCUGGAGGUGUGCCUAUAUUGUCAGAAGUUAUAAAAUACAGAUAAUGCAUUUUUGUAAACAUUGUAUAGGAACAUUGUUUAGCAAAGCAAAUCGUGCAAAUUGAAGAGUAACAAACACGUAUUAAUAAUUGAUAUUUCAAUAUUGAAUUUAUCUGUGAAAUGUAUGCAUAAUAAAACGAACAUGAAUUAAUGACAGUUGAUCGGAACUGAAAUACACAUAGUUAAUUUUCCGGCAUUUGAUGUC